rnacentral:lncRNA from 1 species
AUGUGGGCAAAAAGAUCCUAAGAAGCUGAGAGGCAAAAUGUCCUCAUAUGCAUUCUUUUUGCAAACCUUUUGGGUGUAGCACAAGAAGAAGCACCUGGAUGCUUCUUCAACUUUUCAGAGUUCUCUAAGAAGUGCUCAGAGAGGUGGGAGACCAUGACUGCUAAAGAAAAGGGGAAAUUUGAAGAUAUGGGGAAGGCUGACAAGGCUCGCUAUGAAAGAGAAAUGAAAACCUACAUCUCCCCCAAGGGGAGACCAAAAAGAAGUUCAAGGACCCCAAAGCACCCAACAGGCCUCCUUCAGCCUUCUUCUUGUUCCAUUCUGAGUACUGCCUCAAAAUCAAAGGUGAGUAUCCUGGCUUAUCCAUUUGUGAUGUUGCAAAGAGACUAAGAGAGAUGUGGAACAACACUUCAGUGUGUGACAAGCAGCCGUACAAGAAGAAGGCUGCCAAACUGAAGGAGAAGUGUGAGAAGGAUAUUGCUGCCUACAGAGCUAAAGGAAAACCUGAUGCAGUGAAAAUGGGGGUGGUCAAGGCUGAAAAGAGCAAGAAAAAGAAGGAAGAGGAAGAUGAGGAGGAUGAAGAGGAAGAUGAGGUGGAGGAGGAGGAAGAGGAAGAAGAGUUAGAUGAAGAAGAAGAUGAUGAUGAAUA